AGAGUUUGAUCAUGGCUCAGGACGAACGCUGGCGGCGUGCUUAACACAUGCAAGUCGAACGGAAAGGCCCUUCGGGGUACUCGAGUGGCGAACGGGUGAGUAACACGUGGGUGAUCUGCCCUGCACUUUGGGAUAAGCCUGGGAAACUGGGUCUAAUACCGAAUAGGACCACGCGCUUCAUGGUGUGUGGUGGAAAGCUUUUGCGGUGUGGGAUGGGCCCGCGGCCUAUCAGCUUGUUGGUGGGGUAAUGGCCUACCAAGGCGACGACGGGUAGCCGGCCUGAGAGGGUGACCGGCCACACUGGGACUGAGAUACGGCCCAGACUCCUACGGGAGGCAGCAGUGGGGAAUAUUGCACAAUGGGCGCAAGCCUGAUGCAGCGACGCCGCGUGAGGGAUGACGGCCUUCGGGUUGUAAACCUCUUUCAAUAGGGACGAAGCGCAAGUGACGGUACCUAUAGAAGAAGCACCGGCCAACUACGCGCCAGCAGCCGCGGUAAUACGUAGGGUGCGAGCGUUGUCCGGAAUUACUGGGCGUAAAGAGCUCGUAGGUGGUUUGUCGCGUUGUUCGUGAAAACUCACAGCUUAACUGUGGGCGUGCGGGCGAUACGGGCAGACUAGAGUACUGCAGGGGAGACUGGAAUUCCUGGUGUAGCGGUGGAAUGCGCAGAUAUCAGGAGGAACACCGGUGGCGAAGGCGGGUCUCUGGGCAGUAACUGACGCUGAGGAGCGAAAGCGUGGGGAGCGAACAGGAUUAGAUACCCUGGUAGUCCAA
rnacentral:rRNA from 1 species